CGCAUUUAAGUUUUCAUGCUUUUUUAUGCCUUGAUAGUACAUUUCUUAAAAAUAUUCCAUUGUCUUAAUGUAUCACAGUUUAUGACCUUUUACUUUUAUUUCUAGUUCCAAUUGGUAGGACAGAUUUUAAUGUUCUUAGGAAAGUAAAUGGAUUUCUUCAUAUGAUCUAUCAAAUAAAAUGUAGCAACCCAAUCUGAAAUCAAUUUCACCUAGGUAAUAUGGGGUUUGUUUUACAUUUGGAAUGAAGAUUUAUGAAGAAUAUCACAUUUUCUAAUUUAUGUUAACCAAUAUUUUUCUUUUCUCUCUUUUGGAAUCUAAACAGAAAUUUCUGAAGUUUAUGCAGAUCUGCACCCAAAUUUAGCAACUCUAUAGUGUUUUCCUUUGUUAAGCAAUAAUUUAAACAUAUGGUGACAAAAAUGCUAAUUGUUAUUACUAAGGAAAGAAAACCAUCUUCUGUUACUAGUUUAUAUGACUUUACCUUUAUCACUUCUGCCAACAGAAAGGAAGUUUUGCAAUAAUGCCCUGUCAUAGUCAAUUGCACAAAUUAAGAGUUAUUUGUAAGCAUCCAAAUCACACAGCAGCUCUGAUUUUUUUAAUGGAAGGAUGACCCAUGGUAAUGCAGAGGCUGAAUGGACACGUAAUUGGGUAUUGGAAUGAUAGCACUGAUAAUCACACUGGGUGAACGAGGAGGCCUGAUUGGUGAUCAAUAUCUGAUGAAUGUUUUGAGAUUUUUUUUUCCCUCUAUGCAUCAACUGCCCUUUGCUUUGUAGCUGCAGGAUCUUGUGGAACCUGGAUUUGUUAAUAAAUAAAUAAACCUGGUUAUAUAUAUGACCAGGUGCUGAUAGAAAAAACACUUUGCAGAGUUUUUGAAGACUUACAAGGUUUUUGGAGACUGCAAGCUAUUUUAUUUUUAUAUUAAGGUCAGAUCCACUUUUUAUGUUGCUAUAUCAAAGUAAUUGACACUUUUAGAUCUCUGCCAGUAAUUUGUCUGACUGCAAGUUACAGUUGGAAUGAUCUUUAGUCAUUCUGCCUCUGAGAAAAUAAAAAUAAAGUAUUAGGUUCUAUUUUUGUUGUUCAAAACUGACCACACAACAAAUUGCAAAUCUUUUCAGGUGGUUUGCCAAUCUUUGCGUUGAAUGCAGAUCUUUCUUUAGAACAAUUUAACUUCAAUUACAGGGAAAGUAUCAAAAUUGAAUGACUUUUUUUUUCUACCCCACCAUGGGAUUUGAAUACAGUACACAGAAAAGUUCUUACACACACACACACACACACACACAUACACACACACAAGAAAAAGGUCAUUAAAUGUCUGUUAUCAUUUUCUUUUGAAGACUCAGGCUUAUCUCUUACUUCCCAAGUGACUUUCCUUACCCACAAUCAUUUUUUUCUUAAAUAUCCUUUUAUUUUCUCCUAGAAAAAUAGUAAAAUUUUAAAACAUCAUUUUAAAGGUACAUCCAAGAUUUCAUAGCGAUAUUUUAUUUGUAUUCAUAGUGCAAGAUAAAUCUGAUUCUCAAUUUUUUUCUUCGUCUUCAGAUGGCAUUGGAAACAGUUGUUCACAUUCACACAUUUAUGUUUCACCAUAUGCAUACUGUGUGCAGCUCUGUUGUUUUAAAAUAUUUUUUGGUUUUUCUUUAUAUCUCAACUUUUGAUGGGUGUCCUUGAAGAACUUGCAUGAAAAAAUGUAAAUGUGAAUGAUUCAUUCAUUUUGAACAUAUGUAACUAUUUUAGGAGAUUUUCAGGAGAUUUUACCCUUAUGUGGAACACAGUGUUCUUAGCAGGGAAUGGGCUUUAUGUUACUAUUCUGCUCACAGCUGGAUGUUGCAGAUGUAUUGAGGUUGUGAACCUGUGCUUUUUGUAUAUCGUGUAUAUCAUGUUUACUUUUUAAGUACAUUCCCUGUAUGUACUGUGCUGUCCUGAGUUUUUGGUGGUUGUCAAUAAUGAUCAAUAGUUUUAUGUGUUUCACUUUUGGGGAGAAUUUACUAUAACAUGGUUUAACGUGAUAUCAGGUCUUCCUCUAGAUUUCCAGAUCACUAAAAGAACCCCUCCACAAACUGAUAGUCCAAGGCUAUAUACUGUUGUAGUGGAGGGGUCACCCUAAACCUCUGCCUGUGUUUCAUAGGCAUUUUCCGAACUGGCCACUAUUAUAUUUCCUUCUCUAAAGUUUUCCAGCAGAAAGUCCCUAGGUAGUCCAAUUGUUCAAGAGAGAGGGCACUCCCCUGAAGUGUUGGAUCUUCAUUUUAGAAACUUCUGAAAUUCUUCAGAACAUUCCACACAGGUGUCCUUGUGUUUCUCCUAGCGUGACUUCAUUGACUUUGGUGUGUCUCAUUGAAGAAGCAUGAAUGUAUCUCUGGCUGUUUCCAGAAGGGGCAGCUAUAGAAUGUAAUGACCCCUUCCACUUCUAAGUUUACUUCUAUCAAUGAUUAGUUAGUGUAAAGGAAAAGGCUGGGACAUUUUUUUAAUUGUUAAACUUUAGAACACCUUUUUACCUUUUGUAAUGUUCAGGAUUUCAUAACAAUGGUUGUAAUGUAUUACUGUUCCACUGUUCUGUCUUGUUUCAGCUAGGCAAAUCAGUGAAAUAUUUAACUCUUGUGUUAGAAACACCCUUUGAAAAUGUUAGAAAAUAUAACAUUGUUUACCUGUGAUAAAGAAUAAGUUCAUGAUGAGAAGAAUUAUACUGUUUUUCUUGUACAAAUAAUGCUUAAGGCAGAUGUUCAGUCUCAGAGUGAUGUUGAAAAGCAUAUUUUAUGCUGCCUAAAAACUAUUUCUGUAUUAUAUAUUUAAAUGCAUGAGGAUAAAUUCUAAUUGCUUUUUGUUUAAAACAGAACAUAGAAGAAGCAUUAGCCCCAGUUUGUACAAAAUGUCUGCUGCAACUGAAUUCAUGAUAGUUCAAAACU
rnacentral:lncRNA from 1 species